AUGCUAGUUGUGCGACUUAGAUCGCAGCGGAAGCUCAGUAACACGUGGCCAAACUACCCUGUAGACAGGAAUACUCUCGGGAAACUGAGGCUAAUACCUGAUACGGUUCUCAUGCUGGAGUGCAGAGAACCUCAAACGCUCAGGCGCUACAGGAUGUGGCUGCGGCCGAUUAGGUAGACGGUGGGGUAACGGCCCACCGUGCCGAUAAUCGGUACGGGUUGUGAGAGCAAGAGCCCGGAGACGGAAUCUGAGACAAGAUUCCGGGCCCUACGGGGCGCAGCAGGCGCGAAACCUUUACACUGCACGCCAGUGCGAUAAGGGGACCCCAAGUGUGAGGGCAUAUAGCCCUCACUUUUGUGUACCGUAGGGAGGUACACGAAUAAGAGCCGGGCAAGACCGGUGCCAGCCGCCGCGGUAAUACCGGCAGCUCGAGUGAUGACCGAUUUUAUUGGGCCUAAAGCGUCCGUAGCUGGCCGUGUAGGUUCGUCGGGAAAUCCACCUGCUCAACAGGUGGGCGUCCGGCGAAAACCACGUGGCUUGGGACCGGAAGGCUCGAGGGGUACGUCCGGGGUAGGAGUGAAAUCCCGUAAUCCUGGACGGACCGCCGAUGGCGAAAGCACCUCGAGAAGACGGAUCCGACAGUGAGGGACGAAAGCUGGGGUCUCGAACCGGAUUAGAUACCCGGGUAGUCCCAGCCGUAAACAAUGCCUGUUAGGUGUGGCACCGACUACGAGUCGGUGCUGUGCCGUAGGGAAGCCGAUAAACAGGCCGCCUGGGAAGUACGUCCGCAAGGAUGAAACUUAAAGGAAUUGGCGGGGGAGCACUACAACCGGAGGAGCCUGCGGUUUAAUUGGAUUCAACGCCGGAA
rnacentral:rRNA from 1 species